GACAUACAAAUCAAUGCAUUUAUGUAAACAUUAAAAAAUACGUUUAUUUCAUGAUAAUAUUUCACAGCGGUAUUUAAUAUAAUCGAUGAUACGUAAAUUAAUUGACUUUUUGGAUUUCAUUUCAAUGCAUUUCACGCUGAUUUUUAUAUUUUUUAAAAGAUGAAUAUGGACCCAGGAUUAUCAUUUGAUUUUAUUGUUAUAAUUAUUUGGAUGCUAUUUUAAUUCAACAACAGGAUGAUAGAUCUCAGUUUUAGGAAACAGAAUGAAUAUAUAAGGUAUAUGCAACAUUUAAUGAAUUUCUUAUUCAUUUGAAACCUGUCAUUAUUAUAAUUGCAUCUUAAUUUUCCGUGAUUUUUGAAAUAAGCAUCAGUCAACUGGCAGUGAACAUUAAGAUUAGUAGGUGCUGGUCCUUUCCGUAUGCGACCAGAUCCAUCAAAAUGUGAACCAUGGCAAGGACAAAAAAAUCCUCCCGGAAUGAUACCAGCAUUAGGAAUAGAGCUAAAGAAAAUAACUUGGGUGUUUUUUCAUUAAUACUGAAGAUAAAAAGGAAUGAUGAGUUUACCUCGGUCAUGCCAUCCAU